UAAAAGCUUUGUUGAAGCGUUAGUUUUGUAAACUAAAGAUUUAAUUUUAUUAUAACUAGAU
rnacentral:tRNA from 1 species